GGUGUCCUGUUCUGGCAGCCUUUAGCCGCGUUAGUGGAUUGAUCGGAUUCAGCACGAAUGCCACAGAGUUGUAAAAAGUAAAUCCAUCGCACAGCGGAGAUAGGAAGACGACAUGACAAUCAGACACGCAGAAGUGGAGGACCGUGUCCACCAGCGACCUGUCUCCUCUGCUCGUCCUUGGCCGUCUACCUGAGUAGAACGUUGGGCAUGUGUCGCAUGCCGCUGGCCGGUCUGUGCCAACGCCCGUGGCCGCAGGGAGCGCCCGCGUAGGUCUCCGGCUGUUUGUCUGCAGCUGGAGCGAGCUGUUGUGUGCCUUCUCGUCCUCAUGGGCGUCAUGUUUCAUUUUAGGCCGUUCAGGAUUCCGACUCCGUGGUGCUUGUUUCCCGCCCGGAGCUUCGAGCAGCCCUCCGAUCGUUUCUGGGCUCGGUCUACUGAGAUGAAGUCUCCUAAACCAGAAUUGGGUGCAGUCCCACGUUCGCAUUACCAAACGGGAAGAGUUCGGGCACCCGCUUCGAGCGGAGACCAACGCCAAGCAGAACAGCAGUCUCUUUAUUCCUCGCUUUACCCAAGGAGAAUGGGCAGACGACGGCUCAGAAGCCCAAACUCCCCGAUCCAGGGUCCAGUUUAAUUCACAGGCCCCCAUAACGGACCCUAAGAGGGUGUAGGAAAAAGUUUUCCUCCUUGAUAGAAGACAGGGCAGAUAACGGCUGCUUCUACGUCCAAGUCAAACCACGGCAAUGAGGCUUAUUAUGGUGAUUUCAAACAAACAAAUGCCAAAUGCAUUUUUAAAAGAAUAAUGAUGGUUACCAAAACUUAUGCAUUCUACAUUUACCUGUAAAGGCAAAAUGAGAUUCUGUUACGUAGAUAAAAUCUUCUAGAAAUCACGAUCUUUUCUUUCUAUUAAAUUUUUCUAUUAAAUUUUAACAUCUUUAUGGAGAUAUAGUUCACACGCCAUAAAGCUUACUUAUUUAGAGCGUACGAUUCAAUGUAUUCCUAUUAGUUUUUUUUAUUAUUAUUAUUGUAGUGUAGUAAAACACAGAAUGUGAAAUUUAGCAUCUACAUCAUCUCGAACGGUACAGUUCAGUCGUGGAAAACAUAUUCGCUGCUGCGCAACAGAUCUUUCCGAAACUCUGAAUUUCUGUAUUUUUAACACUGU